rnacentral:lncRNA from 1 species
GUGUCCCCACAGCCAGAUCACAGAAGCUCGGGGACACUCGGACCUUCAGGAGGCAGGAGGUGAUGCCUGGAAUGGAAGUUUCACUUGUCCGGCAGCCCAACCCUCAUGUGGCGCAUUCUGGGGAGCAGAGGUGAUGCUGGGCUAUGGCUUCACAUCUCCAUGGACCCUCUGAGGCUGGUGGGACCCCUCGCUACCUGCAGCCUGGGCUGGUGUUCCCCGAGGUCUUCUUUUUCUCACAAAAGAAGCCAGGAUAGGGCCGGGGAUUUAGCUCAGUGGUUCUGGCACCUGCCUCACAAGCGCAAGGUCCCGAGUUCGAUCCCUGGUAUCAAAGAAAGAAGCCGGCUUAGCUCACCUCCCUGCAUGUCUGUCCCCACGGCACGUGCUGUUCCUCUGGCGGCUGGAGUUACCUGGGGACUGGGGCUCACGGUAAGUGAUGCACCUUGGGCGGCCCAGGCUGGAGGGAGGGCCCUGCUGCGCCUGUGCACUCCGUCCCAGCACCGCUGGUCUCCCAGGUGCCCCGUGAGGCCUGAGGGCCGGCCUCUGCUCCCACGUACCUCCUGUUCUCUCUCAGGUGCCCAUCCCUGGGUGCGGUGGGGGCCACUGGGGCCACAGGGAGUACAGAGAGGGUUCCGAACCCACUCCGUAGCAUCCACGUCCCUGCCUGCCACCAUGCACCUCCCCAAGUGCCUUCUGCCAGGCAUCCUCAGCGUGAGACCUGAGAAUUUUCUUCGUAGGGUCUGCAGGUUGCUCUCAGCAGCUUGAAGACCAAGACACAAAAGAGAAAACACAAGCAGCUGCUAGACCAGCUUCACUCAUUUUCCUCCAUCUCCCCACCCCGCCCUGCCUUCAUCAGGAUGUUAAUUCUGGGGCCCACGACUCUGUGGACCUGUGCUGUGGACUGGCCCCCAGGGACCUUGUGUAGCUCCGUGAGUGGUGGAAACAGCCUCUUGCUGCCCUACAGCUAGGGAGAAGACCGUGCUAGCUCCAGGGGCUGGAGCCAGACUCCCAGCUCUGAUCUUGGCUGUGCUACUGCCUUAUUAUCUGACCAUGAACGAGCACUUCUCAUCCUCAGGUCUUCCUUAAUUUCCCCAGCUCUCCAGGGUCUCAUAGUAGCAGGGGUCUGGCAGUAUGGCUGGAGCAGUCGGAUGUGAUGGCCGAGUGAGGAGACUCACUAACCACAGAUGGAGAAUGGCAGCACCCAAGCCUGACUCGGGACCAAGCUGAACCCUGUACCCAGCACCAGUGAGAACAUGAAGAACCUGGCACGUGAUAUCAGUCUUCUAGCACGAGGCCAGUGUGACCUCCGGGGUCAGCUGUGGAGACACAGAAGGGCGGCAGUGACUGAGCUGUGGCCACCGACCUCUUGCUCUUGCAGCAUCUGUUCUGUGUGCAGGACACACCCGCUCUUUUUCCUUCAGAGCACCUUUUCUCCCUGAGCACUUCUGUGCUUCUCCCUUUUAUUCCUGCCCUAAAUAAAUGGUAAUCUUUCACAUCCACCAAUUGUCCUGACCAAUUCGUUGACUGGGACAAAUAAGAACCUGGGAAACGCUGUUG